rnacentral:rRNA from 1 species
GACGAACGCUGGCGGCGUGCUUAACACAUGCAAGUCGAACGGAAAGGCCCUGCUUUUGUGGGGUGCUCGAGUGGCGAACGGGUGAGUAACACGUGAGUAACCUGCCCUUGACUUUGUGAUAACUUCAGGAAACUGGGGCUAAUACCGGAUAGGAGCUCCUGCUGCAUGGUGGGGGUUGGAAAGUUUCGGCGGUUGGGGAUGGACUCGCGGCUUAUCAGCUUGUUGGUGGGGUAGUGGCUUACCAAGGCUUUGACGGGUAGCCGGCCUGAGAGGGUGACCGGCCACAUUGGGACUGAGAUACGGCCCAGACUCCUACGGGAGGCAGCAGUGGGGAAUAUUGCACAAUGGGCGGAAGCCUGAUGCAGCAACGCCGCGUGCGGGAUGACGGCCUUCGGGUUGUAAACCGCUUUCGCCUGUGACGAAGCGUGAGUGACGGUAAUGGGUAAAGAAGCACCGGCUAACUACGUG